rnacentral:lncRNA from 1 species
AUGAUAGCAUCCCAAGCUACUCAGAAGACUGAAAGGCUGCAAUGACACUGCUACUGACACUACAGGUAAUUCACACAGGAGCUGAGCCUGAAGAUGUGAAUUCCUAACAAAUGAGAUAUCAUCUACUCUGCUGGUUUUGGAAUGACAAGAAAACCAAUUGAUAACUUCUUUGAGAAGCAAGUUUCUGCUAUAAGCAGGAGAAAGGGUUGAGACAAUGCAAUGAAAAAGAAAAGAAGAAAAGCAGGGGAGAAGCAGGAAAGCAAAUGGAAGUGAAAUCCUGACUGAGG